AAUAUUGGACAAUGGGGGCAACCCUGACCCAGCCAUGCCGCGUGGCUGACGAAGGUCCUCGGAUUGUAAAGCACUUUAAGUUGGGAGGAAGGGCUUUAGGUUAAUACCCUGAAGUUUUGACGUUACGAACAGAAUAAGCACCGGCUAACUCCGUGCCAGCAGCCGCGGUAAUACAGAGGGUGCAAGCGUUAAUCGGAAUUACUGGGCGUAAAGCGCGCGUAGGUGGUUCAGUAAGAUGGGUGUGAAAUCCCCGGGCUUAACCUGGGAACUGCUUUCAUAACUGAUGAGCUAGAGUACGGUAGAGGAUAGUGGAAUUUCCUGUGUAGCGGUGAAAUGCGUAGAUAUAGGAAGGAACACCAGUGGCGAAGGCGACUACCUGGACUGAUACUGACACUGAGGUGCGAAAGCGUGGGGAGCAAAC
rnacentral:rRNA from 1 species